CAUAUGUUUAACGUUACGUGUACGAGGGACCUUCUGAUACCUGGACCAAGUCUUGCUUGUCUGCCUCCUACCAAGUCACUCGGUCUUGGCUUUCUCACACCAAGUGAAAGUGGAGGAAACGCGCACACACACACACACGCCGGCCCGUCCGAGCUUCGCCAAACUAUAAAACAUGACACAGGGUUUUUCUCUGUGUUCGUGUACAAACGAGAGCAUGAAUGGCUAAACUCUGGCAUGGCAGCAGAACACAGGGUCUUUUAAGGGCAGGUCCUCUGGGCGUGUGCAAAACAAUUAGCUGCCAUUGUGAAGGCCCCGUCCUCCCCUCCACCUUGCUGUUAUCUCGUGUUUCAUGGCAGCAGCCAUUGUCCCUGUCUCCAAAGUCCCAGCUCUCUCUCUCUCUCCCUCUCUCCCUCCCCCCCUCUCUCACAUCUUUUGCCACCACGAAUAAUCAAGAGAAGCUCGUCAGCCUUUAUCGCCUCCAUCCUACCGUGGUCAAAUAUCCGCUUCAGUUUGAACAUCUCUCCGCCGGAUUCAUAAAAACACAUAAUAGCGGACCUCAUUGUGUUCUCAGGCAGUAUUGUUUGUCGCCUUUCCAAUUUUGACAAUUUCCGUGAAAUGUGAAAAGGGAUUUAUGAAUUCAAACAGGGAGGAAGAUAACGUUGUGUUUCAACCGGCGGGCAAAAAAUAUUAAAUCCACUGAAAGUUUGAAAACGUUAUCCGUCACGUCAUCUGAAUCUAGAACCAUGAAUGCAAAUGUUAUAUUCAAGUCCCUGAAGUAAUUAGUCUCUAUUCUUUCCCACAUAAAAUAUCAUGGUUGGAAACAUGCAGCUUCAUAGAUAUGUUAAGGGAGGGCAUGAGGACCAAAGGAGUUUAUUCAGGGUUCAUUUCCAACAUUUUAUGACAUCGCCACGGCAAGAGUCUACUUGAAACAAGCCAUUCCCUUUCACCUGUAGAUGAUUACUGCUUUUCUUUUCCAGAAACAUGGUUUUAUCUUAAUCACUGGAACAGUAGUCUGCUUUUAAGUUUAAACUGAUCGCAGUGUUUGUACAUCACUUCUAUCCGUUGAAAUCAAAACGGAAAAACAAUGUUCUUACUCCAAGAUAAAAGUUAUAAAGGUUUAUUGUAUACUACUGUAAUUCCAACUGUCUUUUCCUGGUUUAUUCAGCUGUAAUAUUGUUUUACUGGUUGACAAAAUGCUGCUGCCAGACUCCCACGCUAAUCAAGCGGAUACCUUGUUUUUAUUAUUCAGUCUCAAAUGCUUCCUAAUUGGUUUGCAUGAAUUAUUCCAGUUAUUUAUUUGUUAUAUUUGUGUGUCUGCUGUUUUUUUAAGGUUCUUUUGUUGCGUUUAUAUUUAUGAAUAAAGUGUGUGCAACAUUUAAUAUCCUUCUACUUCAAGAGUAUUUCUGUAAAAGAACAAGUGGCCGUAGAUCAGGGAUUACCAAAGUGUGGUGCGGGCACCCGUUGGGGUGCGCGAGAGCAAAACAUGUGAUGGUGGUCAAAUGAAGUAAUAAUUCAUAUUAAAUAUAAUUUGUAAAGAAUCACAUGACAUGACUUGUUGAACUAUAAUUAUAAUUUAAAAUAAAAAACGGACAAUUUAAUACAUAAAUAU
ensembl:lncRNA